UUUUUUAGAAAAAAUCAAAAAAAAACUUUUUCUAAAAACAAAAGGAUUGAAUAUCGAUAUUCAACUGUAUAUGUGUUCAUUAUGUUCAGUGGUGACAAUAUUCAAUCUUUUUCCAAAAAACAACUGUUUUAAUCGUCAUCAUCUGUUACUUUAUUCAUUGUCUAAAUGUAUGAUCCGAUAUCACGGUUGAAUAUCAUCACCCAUAAAAAUAUUGAAUACAUAUACAGUUGAUAAAGUAUAUGGAUGCUCACUCUGAUUACUAUGAACUGACUUUGAAGUUGGCGAAAACUGAUGUGGAAUAGUUCAUUUAGGAGAUCAAAGCUUUUGUCUUGAAUAUGAUAAGUGUAACUGUAAUCAAUCUCUUGUCAUACAUAUAUAUCGAUGAUUGAGAUUUGGAUUAUGGAUAUGUCUUUCCUAAUUGUUUAAGAAUUUUGGUU
rnacentral:sRNA from 1 species